rnacentral:lncRNA from 1 species
AUGCAGUCCUUGUUAAUUAAUUGUUUGAAGAUGGGCCACGCAAAAUACAUCUUUCCUGCUGUGUUGGGAUCAUUUGCAGUGGCAUAUAUGGGCAUUUGACCAUUUUGUUGCUGACAAGAAGAUAUUUGGAGGAACUACUCCAUCAACUGUUGCAAACAAAGAAUGGUGGGAAGCAACUGACAAGAAGUUCCAGGCAUGGCCUCGCACUGCCGGUCCACCUGUGGUCAUGAAUCCCAUCAGUCGUCAGAAUUUCAUUGUGAAGUCGGGCACCGAUGAAUGAAUCUUCAACAUCUUCACUUACUUUAUCUCUGUAAUGUAAUGUGAUGACACUUUUUUAGUGUGGUUUGGUUGCUGUGAAUUUUGAAUCCUCUAAAUCAUAGUGUC